rnacentral:rRNA from 1 species
GAUGAACGCUGGCGGUCUGCUUAACACAUGCAAGUCGAACGGAAUCCUUCGGGAUUUAGUGGCGGACGGGUGAGUAACGCGUGAGAAUCUGCCUUCAGGUUCGGGACAACAGCUGGAAACGGCUGCUAAUACCGGAUGUGCCGAGAGGUGAAAGCUUUAGUGCCUGAAGAUGAGCUCGCGUCUGAUUAGCUAGUAGGAGUGGUAAUGGCACCCCUAGGCGACGAUCAGUAGCUGGUCUGGGAGGAUGAUCAGCCACACUGGGACUGAGACACGGCCCAGACUCCUACGGGAGGCAGCAGUGGGGAAUUUUCCGCAAUGGGCGCGAGCCUGACGGAGCAAGACCGCGUGAGGGAAGAAGGUCUGUGGAUUGUAAACCUCUUUUGAUGGGGAAGAAGACAGUGACGGUACCCAUCGAAUCAGCCUCGGCUAACUCCGUGCCAGCCGCCGCGGUAA